AUGCAAUGUAGCAGAGGAAGGGUGUGUCCACAUGACUAACUAUAUGCAGAUAUCUGCCGUUUGGGAGACAGUGGGUAGCAUUUGCCAAAAUAUAAAAUGGUGUUGCUGACCCCAAUUCUGGGAGAUGGUACUUGAAUCUUACUGUGCUCUGAGACUUCUUUCCAUAGGCCACAAAAAGUCUUCACCUGGCUCUCUGCCACCCCAGCUAAACCACUUGACCUCUGAUUACAUAACAGUCCCCAUCUGUGAGCUCAGCCAUCCUCAGGAGAUAGGAGGGGCCAUGAGAAGCUCAAGUUCACCAUGAGCCACAGCAGUAAGCCAUGCUUUAGCCUCUGACCUGUGCUCCAAUUUUGGUACAAUGAUUUCUGCCAUGUUCUCCAACAGGGUGAGGAAACAGACAGCACUAAGAGAAAAAGCUGGAACUCAAAACCAAAUUAACUCCAAACUUAAGUUUUCCCACUUCGACAAGAAAAGGAACUGCAUGUGUUUUUCUGCCUCUUGCAGAUGUAUGUCAUAAAAGUUGGAUGCCUUCCUUUCAAGACAUUUGAAUGGAUCACCAAAUAAUUACCUACUUUUCUCUCACAACUCAGAUAAAUAAUUAAAAGGAGAUAUACACAGAUUGGUUGCAUACUUAAGAGUGAGAAUCAAUUAAAACAAAAUUG
rnacentral:lncRNA from 1 species